rnacentral:lncRNA from 1 species
CUUCGAGCAAGUGACUUAGCCUGUUUGUACCUCUGGGACAUGGGGACAAUACAGCUACGUACCUCAUAAGUUUGUUUUAAUGAAUAAAUAAUGGUGAAAGAAGAGCUGAAAUUUACUGGAUCUUCCCUAGUAACAGAAGAGCAGAAACAUGGUUCUGGAGGCUGGAAGCGGGCCAUGUCCACAUCAGGCACUUGCAAAGAGCAAGGGGCAGCAGGAUGUUGGGACUGGCCAGACCUGCUCACGGAGGGCUGGGAACAACAGGUGACUGAGGAUGCAUCAGAAAGCUGAGAUUUGCAGUUCUCAAAUGAAGAAGCAGAAUUCACAGUGGGAAGUGGAGUGUUGGGUCAAACAUUGCUUUGGAAGUUAAACCCUCUAACGAAUUACCAGGAUUGGAAAGAGCUUCGGCCUGAAAGAUAGGAGAUCACAACCUUGUCUCAGCAUGCUAGGAACUUGCUAUUUGACUGUGAACAGAGCAAGACUUAUCUACCUUUAAUUUGACC